GCAGGAAGAAAAUUAGAGAACCCUAAGUUGCCUCAAUAAAAUUUGAACAGACGUUUGUCUCUGGAGUUAGGACUUUGAGUGAGUUGCUACAGGAAUUGUCGAUCCAAGUGCUCAUUGCCUUCCCUGUGAAGUUUCACAUGAAGAUGUUUUAAAGAAAAUCUUCUAUUAAUUACUUGAGAAACUUUGCUUCUCCCAAAGAACAGAUAUUUUCCCCUCAAGACAAUGAGUGUUAUCUGCAACACCAUCUGCAAUUAUUAUAGCAUCAACAGAUAAAGACUUGGAAAGACCUGCCAGUCAGACAAGCAGCCCACGGGAAGCCUGUGCACAUCCAUGUCAGGUCCGAAGAGACUUCUGUUUCACCAGCCUACCGUGGGUAUCAGAUAAUGCAGGACAUGAAAUAAAGUGUAAGAAUAUUAAAUUGUAAAUCUGAACUUCUCAGGUUUAACUCAAACCUCAUCCUUAUUUGAUCAGCAAGACCCCCAAUAAAAGUGAUUCCCUGCUUUGUAUCAGUACAAUUUGAGGCAUUUGAGGAGAUUCGAUAGGUUCAGUUCUUCGCUACAAUCAGCAUCUGGAGCAAUAGCUUCAGCAAUAAAAAUUCUGGUUUAACAGUUAGAACAAAGCAUCAACUACUCCAUCCUGUUCAAAAGAGAGAUUCCAGAGUGCUCAGGGAUACAAACAAAGACGUGAACGGAUUGAAGAGCCAUUGGUGCAGUCGAGGAGAAGGGACGGACAAACCUGUGGACUUGGAUGCCUCUGAGAAGCCUUCAAGGCUCCACAGAGGCUGCCAGCUCUGAGAGAUUUACACUGUGGGAAGGAGGGGGAACUCUUCCAGGCACAGGAAGCAACUGACAAGGCAUGGAAUUGGUAAUGAGCGUGGUGUGGCAGGGCUUCAUAAAGUGCAAGAUGAACAGAGGAAAAGGUGGUCGUGAAGUCGGAUGGGGAAGGUUACAAGAAAUGUCAUCAUUAUUAAUUUACACCAUUUUGACCUGAGCCUAUAUUUUGUUCAUCUGAAUGAGAUGUUCUUGAUUUAUUGAAAGCCUUAUCAAAUAUCACCUUUAUCUCUAUCAACUCUUGAGCUCUCUGUGCACAUUUUUAAGUGCCUGCUGAUGUCCCACAGAUCUUUCCACUCACAUACGUCCUCCAUUGUACUCAUCACAUUCCUUCCGUUCAGCUCCCCAGAUGAUCACCAGAGAAUCUGUUAGUAAAGCAAAACUUCCUCGAACUUCUCUCAGUAAGGGAGAACAUGACCUUGACAGAGUCUUAGCAGUGUCUCAGAAGUGAAAUAUUUACAGAAUUUUGGCAUCUAGGCUUAAGCUUUAAACUGGUCCCUCAAGAUGGGAGCUAAUUGCACAAAAUCUCCUGAAGAAAGUCUUGAUAAGCAGACUUUCGUUUAGUGAGUGGCCUAUUUGCUCAGGUGAACAGACUCUUAUCUUUAGUAAAUUUAUCGGUAGGAAUUUCCUAAGACAAUUGGUGGAAUUAUUUCUGGAAGCUUUCCGGGAACAAAGAACUAUGUUACAUUGACAUAGGUGUUCUAUAGACUUAUCUAAGUCAGUGGACAUAGAUGGUCUCAGUUCUCUCCUCCCUAAACCAGCUCCUUCUAAGGCGUUUCCCACCUGAGUCACUGGUAACAGCCGGCUCCCUCCUACUCUUCCUGGGGAGGAGUCCUUUUCACUCCUCCCGCCUCUAAUGUGGGCUCUCCCUCUCAGUCCCACGGUUCGCAAUUGCUUCCCAAACUCUGGUCCAGCAUUUCUUCUGUCUCCAUUCUUUCUUUCACAUAAAGGUGAGAGUUUUAUUUCUGAAAUAACUGAAUAGGUAAUUUCUCUCCUAAAUGAUUUACAAUAGUUUCACAACUAUUCUGAUUUUUUUUGUGAUGGAUUAAUUCUGUCUCUUCUAGAACUUCAUGUAAAUACAAUCAGACAGUUUGUAUUCUUUUGUGGCUGGCUUCUUUCACUCACCUUAAUGAUUUUAAGGUUUAUCCAUAUGUGUG